rnacentral:rRNA from 1 species
GACGAACGCUGGCGGCGUGCCUAAUACAUGCAAGUCGAACGCACAGUUUAUACCGUAGCUUGCUACACCAUAGACUGUGAGUUGCGAACGGGUGAGUAACGCGUAGGUAACCUGCCUGGUAGCGGGGGAUAACUAUUGGAAACGAUAGCUAAUACCGCAUAAUAUUGAUUAUUGCAUGAUAAUUGAUUGAAAGAUGCUAUUGCAUCACUACCAGAUGGACCUGCGUUGUAUUAGCUAGUAGGGGAGGUAACGGCUCACCUAGGCGACGAUACAUAGCCGACCUGAGAGGGUGAUCGGCCACACUGGGACUGAGACACGGCCCAGACUCCUACGGGAGGCAGCAGUAGGGAAUCUUCGGCAAUGGACGAAAGUCUGACCGAGCAACGCCGCGUGAGUGAAGAAGGGUUUCGGAUCGUAAAGCUCUGUUGUAAGAGAAGAACGGGUGUGAGAGUGGAAAGUUCACACUGUGACGGUAUCUUACCAGAAAGAGACGGCUAACUACGUG